rnacentral:misc_RNA from 1 species
AAGUCGUAACAAGGUUUCCGUUGGUGAACCAGCGGAAGGAUCAUUAUCAUGUGUUUCCACAUCCCACAAAACCACGUUGAACCUGUGCCUCUUGGAAGGGCAAAAGUAGUUCUACAGCGGUUCCUGUUAAUAUUGAUAUUAACAGUAGUGAUUUCGCCUUUUCCGGUUGGGCUUAGGGCAAAAUCCGAAACGUUGUACCUUCAGAUGUGUCUCCUUCUUCGGAAGGGCUGCUGAAGCUUUGCUCGGCCUUGAGUGUUUUUUUAAACCCGACCAACCUAACCACUUGAACCAAAACUUUUUCUUAACGAACUAACCUUGAGGUUUUUUUCCUACCUAUUCUUCGGAAUGGGAUGAAAAAAAUUUUCAUACGAAAUAUCUGAACAACUCUUAGCAACGGAUAUCUCGGCUCUC